AUUGAACGCUGGCGGCAGGCCUAACACAUGCAAGUCGAGCGAGCGGCGGACGGGUGAGUAAUGUCUGGGAAACUGCAUGAUGGAGGGGGAUAAAUACUGGAAACGGUAGCUAAUCCCGCCUACCAUCAGAGGUGCCCAAAUGGGAUUAGCUAGUAGGUGGGGUGAUGGUGCACCUAGGCGACGAUCCCUAGCUGGUCUGAGCGGAUGACCAGCAACACGGGAACUGAGACACGGUCCAGACUCCUACGGGAGGCAGCAGUGGGGAAUAUUGCACAAUGGGCGCAAUCCUGAUGCAGCCAUGCCGCGUGGUUGAAGAAGUCCUUCGGGUUGUAAAGCACUUUCAGCGGGGAGGCGUUACCCGCAGAAGAAGCACCGGCUAACUCCGUGCCAGCAGCCGCGGUAAUUC
rnacentral:rRNA from 1 species